UACGUAGGGGGCAGCGUUGUCCGGAAUCAUUGGGCGUAAAGCGCGUGUAGGCGGCUCGAUAAGUCUGCUGUGAAAGUCCAGGGCUCAACCCUGGGAUGCCGGUGGAUACUGUCGAGCUCGAGUCCGGAAGAGGCGAGUGGAAUUCCUGGUGUAGCGGUGAAAUGCGCAGAUAUCAGGAGGAACACCAAUGGCGAAGGCAGCUCGCUGGGACGGUACUGACGCUGAGACGCGAAAGCGUGGGGAGCGAACAGG
rnacentral:rRNA from 1 species